GCCACGUGUCCUUUGUUUUCUUCUGCAUGUGCCACCUCCUGUUAUUAAGUUUACAUUUGAGCUAUGUAUUGUAUUUUGCACCAGCCACCUUUCUUCCUGGCCUUUGUAUCAACACAGCUGCAUGGUGAUCACAUGUACUUGUAAUCUGCAAUUCUUUAAAUUUCUUGUAUGCUGGAUAUAUAUGACCACAAGUGUGAACUUACAUAUUCAACCUAGCUAGCUGUUCAAGUCCACAAGCAACGAAUGACUCGAUACGAGAAUCAAUCGGAAAAAAUACUAGAAAGUAAGGUAUCCGGCCAUUACAAUUCUAGCAGAAGCGGCUUUGUACGUGGAAAAGGUGGUUAUCAAGGCAGACAUAAAUGUGGAAGGAAACCGUUUGAGAGACGCCAGAAAAAUGAAGGUCACCGAUCAUUUGGUCGAGGUAAAAAUUUUAAAGGCUACAAGAAGAGAUACAAAAUUUUUAAAUGGCCUGACAAAUAUUAUCAUGAAGCUGAUAAGGUGGCAUAUAUUUCACAAAAUGGAAAAGAAGCUCGGGAUAGAAAUACGAGUUUGAGGGGGAGUGUUAGAAUUCAAACUCGUAUUAAUUAUAAUAACUAGGUGAUCCUGAAAUUACGGUAGGCUGCAAGAAUAUAUGCAGAAUAAAUGGUUGGCUAUUAAGUGAGGGUUGGAGUUCAGCUUGUGUGUACCGGAUAACAUGGAAGACCAUAUUAGCAGCUGAUAUAAAUGCUAAUGUUAUCCUGUUACGCAAGUAGGACUUGAGUCAUAAAGCUGGGUGUGUAUAAGAUGUAUAGAUGUAGUAGUAUCAACGGAAGAAAAUAAAGGUGCUAGUUACAAUGAAGACUUGAAUGUAUGGACUGUUAUAUGGGAGAGAUCGAAGAAAGAAACAUAGCUCCUGGAUAUAAGGUGGGCUCUCUUUAAUUAACACAGGCUGGUGACAAUCUGCAACAUACUCCAGGUCAAAGAUGGCAGGCUGAUAAAAGUCUAGAGCAGCAAUAAAUAUGUGUUACAAGUUGUAAUCUGUAACCUAUAUAUAAGGCUGCUAGAGGAAGAAGAAAUAGAGAACACACAGAGGAAAACUACAACAGCAGUUGUAGAGAGAAAUUUAGAAGAGCUGAAGCUCUGAGUGAAAAGGCCGCGUGCCAUCUCUGUGUGUAAUAGGAAAGGCUGAAGCCUAGCUAGCGUGUGUAACAAAAUUAUAAGUAGUGUAGCUGCGUGUUACAUUAAUAUACAAGUUGUGUGUGUUUGUAUCCUAAUAUAUCGGAAGUUUUUGGUUUACACGUUUCCAACAAAGGAAUCUUUUUGGUACUAGUUUUGGAAGAGUAAUAGGAAGCCUUAUUUACUUGAGAUAUCUGAGUGCAAGAAAUUCUAGUCAUAUUUUACCAUAUAUACAGAACUUGGUGCUCUUACAGACUCUCAAAGUCGAUAGACGUGAUAACUAUUAUCCACGAAAGUCAAUUAACAUAUUUAACAAGUUGACAAAUUUGCGACAUUUGUAUCUUCCCAAUUUUUCCUAUGUCAGGUUGAAGAAGAAUCCAAAAUUACGUUUCAGUGAGUUGAGAAAAUUACAUUCUCGGUGGUGUGAGAUUAAGGAUCUGCCAAACUUAAUCAGUGUUCAGAGACUAAGGAUAUUUGUACAAGAUUAUUAUGGUAAUUUGGAAGAUGUGAUCACACACUUAGCAGCACUUGCCUUGUCAUCAACUUCCGGUCUCAGAUACUGGGCUCUUCAUUUAGAGAUAACUGAACCAUGGAUGCUAAUAAUUACAAUGCCAGAAGACAAUUAAUUUGGAAUCAUCCAAACAUCGUAAGACAGUUAUUUUGGAAUGAUAAGUUCAACUUUCAGGAAUUAUCAAUAAAAGGCAAGCUCCCGGAGUUGGCUGAAUUAUUUGGUCGGCAUAUUGAUGCAUCUUUGAUUUGUAUCACCAGGUUAAAACUAUCACAGUCGAACCUAAAGACAGACCCGAUGUGUGCUAAUGGUGUGCUCAGCUACGGGUUUUCAAAAACUCACCAAGCUAGCACUGAAGUGUCUUUUCAGAUUGCAAUCCUGGAGGGUGGAGAGAGGAAGCAUGCCAGUUCUCUCUGAGUUGGCUAUUUAUGCAUGCGAUAGUAUGAAGGAGCUUCCACAAGGACUCGCAUAUCUGAAUUCCCUUCGAAAACUAAACUUGACGGGCAUGCCUCCAGAAUUCUGUGAUAGGGUCGGUGUGGUAAACGGUGAACCAGGACCUGACUUUUACAAGAUUGCUCAUGUUCCUGAAAUAAUCACCAAACUCUGAGCAAGUUGGAGGAGCUAGCUUCCAAAUUAUGGACUCAUAAUUUUUGUCAUAACUAAUCCUAUUGGAUCUACGAGAAUUAAGGGGUCUACAGAAUAAGGGUAAAUGCAGAUGAUAUUGAUUGUGAUGUGGAAGAGCUAGAUGAUGAAAUACUUGGUAACACUUGCCUUGUCCCUCAUUUUGAGAUAAUUGAUGAGAGGUUGUUUAAUGAUCCAAAUAUCAUAAGACAAUUGUUUUGGAAUGACUAUUUCAACCAAGUAUGGCAAUUCUCUCUGAGUUGCCUUUCCUGUGGAUGGUGCAGGAAGGAAGUAUGUCAAUUCUCUCUGAAGUUUGUAGCAGUUACUUGAGCAGCAUGAUUUCAGGAGGGCGGUUUCUCCGACAACAUCAAAUAUCACUGUGUUUAUCUACAAAAUAUCUCUCGGUUCUUGUACUUAUUGUAGUGAUUCUCGUUACCUCCAAUUUAUCGAGAAAUCGAAGAAGCUAUAUAGGGUUUUGUCGGGCCUGUUGAUAUGGUUCGUAAGCUACGACAUAUCCCUCGACUAUUAUUUUCAAAGCUUAAAUUUGUUGUUC